rnacentral:rRNA from 1 species
CCAAUAGCGUAUAUUAAAGUUGUUGCAGUUAAAAAGCUCGUAGUUGAAUUUCGGGAUCAAUAUGUUGGUCGUGCCUUGGUAUGUACUAUCUUAUUGGUUUCUUCCUUCUGACGAACCAUGAUGUCAUUAAUUUGAUGUCAUGGGGAAUCAGGACUGUUACUUUGAAAAAAUUAGAGUGUUUAAAGCAGGCUCACGCUUGAAUAUAUUAGCAUGGAAUAAUGAAAUAGGACGUUUGAUUCUAUUUUGUUGGUUUCUAGGAUCGACGUAAUGAUUAAUAGGGAUAGUUGGGGGCAUUAGUAUUCAAUUGUCAGAGGUGAAAUUCUUGGAUUUAUUGAAGACUAACUACUGCGAAAGCAUUUGCCAAGGAUGUUUUCAUUAAUCAAGAACGAAAGUUAGGGGAUCGAAGACGAUCGGAUACCGUCGUAGUCUUAACCAUAAACUAUGCCGACUAGGGAUCGGAUGAUGUUAAUUUUUUAAUGACUCAUUCGGCGCCUUACG